GAAAAAUGUAAACCAGGCUGUUAUGAUCUGUUAUGAUCCGACAAGAGUAGGAAAAGGGUAAAUCAGGCUGUUAUGAUCUGUUAUGAUCCGACAAGAGUAGGAAAAAUGUAAACCAGGCUAUUAUGAUCUGUUCUGAGGUCUGAGAUCUGAGGGCCAUCGUAAAGACCCUUACAAGGUAAGAAAAGGUCACUAGGUGUGCUUUGGUUGGCGGCAAGAGGGUCCUCUUUUGGUGGCGGGAAGUGGGCGUCCUGGCACGUGGGUAAUGCAGUAAUGGGGGGAGGUGUGUAGGGUACGGGGGCGGGGUAUUGGUCUGUCGGUCAAACCCACAAGCCCUCCUAGUCUGCAGACCUUUCGGCCCGUUACUAGCAAAUUGACGCCCCUGAGUUGCGCGCGGUCACGCUCCUUGGUUACGUGGGGACGCCCAGUUCUCUCGUCAUGCUGUUGCAUGAAUUGUGUUAUCAAUUCAAAUCCAAAUUGGAUUAAGGAUAUGUUAUUAUCCUAGUAGUUGAGGAUCGCUCAUUUUUCAUAAUUUAGAUUUGAAUUUAAUAAAUGUGACCUUUUCUAACGCCAAA